UCAGACCCUGCAGGAUCAGCUCCUGGAGGUGCCAGAGAGGGAAGAUGGGAAAAAGUCGAAAUGAGUUUGUUUCAGAAGGCAGACUGCAAACUACAGUUUGGAAAAACCCACCGAGGUAGCCAAGAGCAGAAAAUCCUGUUUGGAAGAGGGAUAUAUUUGGUUUUCUGACUCCUGAAUAAAGGAGGAGUUUUUAAAUAAAA